AGAUAUCUUAAAAACAGUGGAUAGUACACCAGGAAAUGAUACUAAUGUAGCAAUUAGAACUCGCAGUCAAAUGUGAAAAAUCAAAUUUAUUCUUGUUCUUAGGAAGGUUACUAAGAGCCUAAGAGGGCCAUCUAGGCUCUCUCUUCUCAAAACCCAAAAUUUGUGGGACUUUAAAGAGCCCAAUUCCAUUCCCAUAUAAAUCCAAACUCAGUCGUCUAGUAUAACUGGGGUUUAGGGUUUUUGAUCUCUCUCUGCGUUUCUAAUUCUAGCUAGAAGAACUGAGCACAAGCAUCGAGGCCACAAAGAGAUCGUAAUCGAUGGAACCGCAGUCGUAGAGAAUACGCGUUUUGAUCAUCCCGAGGCUCAGAAUCGCAUCCUGAUUCUGAAAAUAGUGACGGGAUGAUUUGGGAUAUUGGCAUUAUUGGGAGUGAUGCAUAUAGCUCAAAUAUUGAUUAAAGUGGCAAAGAAUGCAUGGGAUUGGAAGCAAUCUCCUCCUUGUGAAGAUUGUGGUAGGAAGGCCUGUAAAUCCAAGAAGAAGAAGAAGGAGCACAACAAAUGAGCUUAGAAUAAUUGAUAGCAAUACAGCGAUGGAGAAACAAGAGUAACCCUGAUUCUGCACUAUUAGGUACACGAUUUUGAUAUCUUAGUAAAACAGAAGUGCCAGUAGAGAUCGAUGAUUAUAUAUCAUUGAUAGUGCUUUGGGUGGGCAGACUGGGCACCAUGUCUGCGCAUCCGAUUCCUCUUCGAGUAGUUGGGAAGAUGGUGAACAACAAGGUUGAUAAAACCCCUGCACCUAGUGGCAAGUUCAUUGCGAGUUCACUGAUAUUUAUUCCCCCGCCAGAAAAGAAACAACUUUGUACGUUGGAGUUGGAGUUGGUAAGAGCAAAGAUCGGGAAGAACAUUAGUGAGAUGAAGGCAUGAACAAAAUCUAUGAACUUUAUUCUAUACUUUUCCAAGUACUUAUUCAUAUCCUCCUCCAUGUUAUUGUAGUUAAAGAUGUACAUGACUUUGAAUGUGGCGAUUGUAAGACCUUAUUGAACUAGACAUCAACACUUUCUGCUAAUUGACAUUGUGAGGAGUUUUAGAGUUUCAGUUUGUAACAUCAGAGUAUUUAAUAAAGCUUGUAAUCGAAAAUAGUUUUAUUAAUGCAAUCUGUUUUUGAAUUUGAAUUCAAACUUGUAUGGUUAUUUAGAUUAAUCCAUUCAGAUAAACAUAUGGAAGUUAUAAGGCAGUUGC